CCUACGGGAGGCAGCAGUGGGGAAUUUUGGACAAUGGGCGCAAGCCUGAUCCAGCCAUGCCGCGUGUGGGAAGAAGGCCUUCGGGUUGUAAACCACUUUUGUCAGGGAAGAAACGGUCUGAACUAAUACUUUGGACUAAUGACGGUACCUGAAGAAUAAGCACCGGCUAACUACGUGCCAGCAGCCGCGGUAAUACGUAGGGUGCAAGCGUUAAUCGGAAUUACUGGGCGUAAAGCGUGCGCAGGCGGCUUUGCAAGACAGAUGUGAAAUCCCCGGGCUCAACCUGGGAACUGCAUUUGUGACUGCAUGGCUAGAGUACGGUAGAGGGGGAUGGAAUUCCGCGUGUAGCAGUGAAAUGCGUAGAUAUGCGGAGGAACACCGAUGGCGAAGGCAAUCCCCUGGACCUGUACUGACGCUCAUGCACGAAAGCGUGGGGAGCAAACAGGAUUAGAUACCCUGGUAGUCCACGCCCUAAACGAUGUCAACUGGUUGUUGGGAGGGUUUCUUCUCAGUAACGAAGCUAACGCGUGAAGUUGACCGCCUGGGGGAGGACGGCCGGCGAGUUAGAACGUACGAAGGAAGUUAGCGGCGUUGAGACGNGCGAGGACGACGACGAGGGAGGAGG
rnacentral:rRNA from 1 species